UACGUAGGGUGCAAGCGUUAAUCGGAAUUACUGGGCGUAAAGCGUGCGCAGGCGGCUUUGCAAGACAGAUGUGAAAUCCCCGGGCUCAACCUGGGAACUGCAUUUGUGACUGCAUCGCUGGAGUGCGGCAGAGGGGGAUGGAAUUCCGCGUGUAGCAGUGAAAUGCGUAGAUAUGCGGAGGAACACCGAUGGCGAAGGCA
rnacentral:rRNA from 1 species